rnacentral:ncRNA from 1 species
AUAAAGUUUUAUCUUAACUUGAAAAUUAGUUUAAAAAUAAAUUUAUAUAUAAAUUUUUGUAGGAAUAUUUUUAAAUUUAUAAAAUUUAAAAUUAUGGUUAAAUUGUAAUAGAUAGUAUUAAAAAAUAAUGUAAAUUAGUUUUAGUUAUUAGUUUUAAUAUUAACAAAAUUUGUGCCAGCAGUUGCGGUUAUACAAAUAAUAUGAAUUAAUUUUUUUAGUAAUAAUUAAUUUUAAGAUAUUAAUUUAUUUAAGAUUAUUUUUAUUAAGUGAAAUUUUAAAAAUUUAAAAAAUAAAAAAUUUAAAAUUUAAUGAAGUUAAAAAAUUUUAUAAUAAACUAGGAUUAGAUACCCUAUUAUUAAAAUGUAAAUAUUUAUACUAAAUUAGUACAAGUUAUGUUCUUAAAAAUUAAAAGAUUUGGCGGUAUUUUAGUCUAUUUAGAGGAACUUGUUCUGUAAUUGAUAAUCCACGAUUAAAAAUAUUUAUAUUAUUAGUUUAUAUAUCGUUGUUUUUAAAUAUUUUUUUAGAAUAGAAUAUUUAAGAUAUAAAAUUAAAAAAUAAAUCAAAUCAAGAUAUAGCUUAUAUAUAAAAAGAAAUGAGUUACAUUAAUAAUAAUUUUGGAUUUAAAAUUGUAAGAUUUUAAUGAAAUUGGAUUUAAAAGUAAUUUUAUUUAAUUAAAUAAAAUGAUUUAAGCUCUAAAAUAUGUACAUAUCGCCCGUCGCUUUCAUAUAAAGUGAAAUAAGUCGUAACAAAGUAGAUUUAUUGGAAAAUGAAUCUAGAAAAUC